rnacentral:miRNA from 1 species
UACUACUCCCUCCGUCCGAAA